UAAUCCCCUCCUAAACUAAAAUAGUUAGUAAACAGAUAGAAUUCAGAAUCAGUCUGGGCUAGAGCCCAUUAUAGUAACAGAAUAAUGUGUGUGGGCCAAAGCCUAGUACAAUUUCACUUGGGUCUCAGCCUCCAUCAGAAUCAAUUAGGCCUAGCCCAUUAACAGAAUCAGGUGGGCCUAAGCCCAGUAUAGAAUUAGUAUUAGAUGUAAAUAUGUAGACAGAUUCCCAG
rnacentral:lncRNA from 1 species